UUACUCUGAUUUCUCUCCAGACUGUAUAAAUCUUUCACCUUUUACUAAAGAUUUCUGUGGAUAGGAACAUUUAUGAUCUUGUACUAGAUUUUUGAGGUUGUGGUCCCCACC